CGCCCUUGCCCGCACAGGUGUGGCACCCGCCCGCCCCGCCGCACGGAGCCGCCUGCCCGCGGCCACACGCCAGGCGUCACUCGGGCUGGCGCCGGUCUACCUAGGCAGGCGUGGGACCUGUCGGGGGCUUCACGGCAGCGCGGAAGGCCAGCCUGCAGAGAGGCUGGGCCCAGCGCCCUGACUGACCCAGCCCCGCCACGUCCAAGGUUCCCGCCCUCUGGAGGAAGCCGCGCAAUCACUCCGGGGGCGGGGAGAGACAGACAACUGAGAGGAAGGAGGUACCACGGGCACUCUCUCGCGAGAGGGCCGCAGAGCCGCCUUUGACGGGGGCGUGUACCUGGAGAGCAACGGUGGAUGGAAAGCCGAUUUCCAGUCUUUAUGAUAACGCCGAUGUUCCACUUGGGAAAGAUACUGUACAACAAUGAAAGUAGCCCUUUCUUUUGUCUUUCAAAGAAUGUAUUUUUAACAAACAGCCUCUGUGUGAUCCUUUUGACCACACAAUUUGUAGAGUUAACGCUGAAAUUUUCAUUAGCAACAAUGAAAGCACACACAGGCACAAUAUUAAUAUAGAUUAAUAUCAGCCUAUUUUGGUCAGAAAGGCUCAUUUAAAUGUUUAAGAGACAGAAGUCCCAAAUUGUAGUAAUUUCUUCCACUAGCAGGAGGAAGCUCAGAAUUAGUUUUUCUACAACACUAGAGGAAUACUACUCAAAAAUAAAAAGGAAUUAACCAUUGAUACAUGCAACAACACAGAUGAAUCUCAAAGUAAUUGUGCUGAAAGAAACCAGACCCAGAAAAAGAUAAAUUCUAUAUGAUCUCAUUUAUAUAAGACUCUAGGAAAUGCAAACUAAUCUACACAUACAGAAAACUGAGGGCAGGUACUGAGAAGGGUAGGAGGGGGGCGUUACAGAGAGGCAUGAGGAAACUUUUUGGGGUGAUAGAUAUGUUUACUACUUUGAUUGUAAGGAUGAGGUCGCAACUCUGUGCGUGUCAGUGGUAUAUUUUAAUAUGAACGGCUUAUUUUAUGUAAAUUCUACCCCUAUAAAGCUGUUUUUUUUAAAAAAAAAAACUUCUCUUUGAGAGACAUCACCUUUGUCUUUUAAACCAUCUAAUGUUGAAUCUAAAAGUUCAGUGUAAAGUUUAAUAAAAUCAGAGUGUGUAUGUGUCUUAAUUUCCAGGACAUAUAAUCAUAGUGAUUAAGCCAAAAGUGCUUAUAUGAUUACCUAUAAACUAUCAUAGUUAAAUGACUAAAUACCCUGCAUAAGGUAAAAUGAUUAUUUUAUUCCUAUAGAUUGAAAUUGCCCAACUUUUUAUUAGAGAAUAAUAGAUUAGAGGGCAUGUUGGCUCAUACCUGUAAGCCCAAUGCUUUGGGAGGCUGAAGCGGGAGGAUCCCUUGAGGCCAGGAGUUGAAGAUCAGCUUGGGCAACAUAGCAAGACCACAUCUCUACAAAAAAAUUUAAAAUAAAAUGUUUAUCCAAGCAUAGUGGCACUCACUCACCUGUAGUACUAGCUGCUGAGGAAGCUGAGGCCUGGAGUUCAAACUGCACAACGCUGCACUUCAACCUAUGUGACAAAGUGAGAUCCUAUCUCUAAAAUAAUUAAUUCAGUUUUUAUAAUUAGGGAACAUUUAAAUUCAGAUUAUAAGUAAAAAAUGGAAUAAACAGUCCUGUUACCUGAUAUGGUUUGGAUCUCCAUCCCUACCCAAAUCUUAUGUUGAAAUGUAAUCCCCAAUGCUGGAGGUGGGGCCUGGUGGGAGAUGAUUGGAUCAUGGUGGUGGUUUCUCAUGGUUUAACACCAUCGUCCCCUGGUGCUGUCGCCGUGAUGAUGAAUUCUCACGAGAUCUGGUUGGUUUAAAAGUGUGUGGCACCUCCCCCUUCUCUCUUGCUCCUGCUCCUACCAUGUGAGAUGCCUUGGUCCCCCUUUGCCUUCCGCCAUGAUUCAGAGUUCUCUGAGGCCUCCCCAGAAGCAGAUGCUGCCAUGCUUUCUGUACAGCCUGCAGAACCGUAAGCCAAUUAAACCUCUUUUCUUAUACAUUACCCAGUGUCAGAUAUUUCUUUAUAGCAGUGUGAGAAUGGAUUAAUACACUACGUCAUGCAAAAUGUAAAAACAGGCAACUCACUGAGAGUAAACCUAAUCAACUUGUUCAUUUAGAUAUAAACUGUAGAGACGACACUGCCAUCUAGUUGUUGAAUACUGAGUAUACUGUUGAAACAUUCUUGACAAUGUUCUAUUUCUCUUUUGUAGACUUACAAGGAACACACAGAAGCCCCUAACCAAUUACAUCUCCUUCCUAGGAGUGUGAAUGUGACUGCCAUAGUGCAGCCCAUGCUGCCCCUGGUAAUUAUAUGCCUCAACCCAAGCAGGUGAUUAUGUAUCCUGUGACUACCUCAUGCUCAAGGCUCUUCCAUAUUACACAAACACACACACUCAUACUCAAAAGCAAAACAAAAAUAAAACAAUCUGCUUGAUCCCUGCCCUAUAGAGAUUAGUCUAGUCAGGGAAACAUACAACUAAGCAUUCGAAUACAGUGUAGUGGG
rnacentral:lncRNA from 1 species